GAUGAACGCUGGCGGCGUGCCUAAUACAUGCAAGUCGAGCGAACAGACGAGGAGCUUGCUCCUCUGACGUUAGCGGCGGACGGGUGAGUAACACGUGGAUAACCUACCUAUAAGACUGGGAUAACUUCGGGAAACCGGAGCUAAUACCGGAUAACAUGUUGAACCGCAUGUUCAACAGUGAAAGACGGUCUUGCUGUCACUUAUAGAUGGAUCCGCGCCGCAUUAGCUAGUUGGUAAGGUAACGGCUUACCAAGGCAACGAUGCGUAGCCGACCUGAGAGGGUGAUCGGCCACACUGGAACUGAGACACGGUCCAGACUCCUACGGGAGGCAGCAGUAGGGAAUCUUCCGCAAUGGGCGAAAGCCUGACGGAGCAACGCCGCGUGAGUGAAGAAGGUCUUCGGAUCGUAAAACUCUGUUAUUAGGGAAGAACAAAUGUGUAAGUAACUAUGCACGUCUUGACGGUACCUAAUCAGAAAGCCACGGCUAACUACGUG
rnacentral:rRNA from 1 species